rnacentral:rRNA from 1 species
CAGUCGCCGCGGGAAUACGUAGGGUGCAAGCGUUAAUCGGAAUUACUGGGCGUAAAGCGUGCGCAGGCGGUUAUAUAAGACAGAUGUGAAAUCCCCGGGCUCAACCUGGGAACUGCAUUUGUGACUGUAUAGCUAGAGUACGGCAGAGGGGGAUGGAAUUCCGCGUGUAGCAGUGAAAUGCGUAGAUAUGCGGAGGAACACCGAUGGCGAAGGCAAUCCCCUGGGCCUGUACUGACGUUCAUGCACGAAAGCGUGGGGAGCAAACAGGAUUAGAGACCCCUGUAGUCCCUGUCUCUUAUAC